ACAUGCGUAGGCUGGCUAAUGUAAUUUGAGCGGGACGGUAUUUUUUUAAUCCUCCACUUCGCAAUUCAAAUGCAGGAAGUUGCCCAUUAUCCUAUAGGCUUUGGAAACCAUUGUCCACAAGGUCCACGCGCAAAACACCACCCCACAGUCCCCUGCCAUGAAUGCUACGACCAAAGCUGGCGGUGCGAGUUC
rnacentral:lncRNA from 13 species